rnacentral:rRNA from 1 species
GAUGAACGCUGGCGGCGUGGAUUAGGCAUGCAAGUCGAACGGUAUCAUCCUUUCGGGGGUGAGAGAGUGGCGAACUGGUGAGUAACACGUAGGUUAUCUACCCUCAAGACGGGGACAACCCAGGGAAACUUGGGCUAAUACCGGAUGUGAGCAACUUUUAGUUGUUUGAAAGGUGGCGUAAGCUGUCGCUUGGGGAUGAGCCUGCGUCCUAUUAGUUAGUUGGUGAGGUAACGGCUCACCUAGGCAAUGAUAGGUAGGCGGCCUUAACGGGUGGUCGCCCACACUGGGAUUGAGAUACGGCCCAGACUCCUACGGGAGGCAGCAGUCGAGAAUAGUCUACAAUGGUCGGAAGACUGAUAGUGCGACGCCGCGUGAACGAUGAAUCCCUUCGGGGUGUAAAGUUCUUUUAUAUGUGAGCAGUGCUUCUUAUAUUAACAGUAUGGGGAGAGAGAUAUUAGCAUAUGAAUAAGCAACGGCUAACUCCGUGCCAGCAGCCGCGGUAAAACG